CUCUAAGUGGCAAGUGGCAAUGCGUCCUACUUUAUUAUUUUACUUUGUCUAACGGCAGACUCGUCAGGGAGAGAGUGCUGCAAGCCUGCCACUCAAAGGGUUCAGUCGACUAUCUGCCCAUGCACUCUUAACCCUUUAAGUGGCAAUGCGCCCAGAUGCGCCCUGCUUUAUUAUUUUAUUCCGUCUAACGCCAGACGAUUUUCCCUGUCAGGGAGAGAGUGCUGCCACUCAAUGAGAAUGGGUUAAAAUGCCGUCGGGGAGGGGGUGAAGGGGCCCCGGCCGCGAAACGUUAACCCGGUCCUGACAAGUAGUGUUUGAGAUUUAAAGGUUGCUGCUUUUGUUUGUUUAUAUCUUCAUGUGAAAGCUUUGUCAGAAAUGGGAUUCGACGAGAAUCACUAUGAGAUCCAUAACAAAAUUUCUUUAAUUAAACUAUAAGGAAUUUCUGAGGACUUAAUAUAAUGCAUCC